AGCAUGCCGCGGUGAAUACGUUCCCGGGCCUUGUACACACCGCCCGUCACACCACGGGAAUCGAUUGGUCCCGAAGUGCGUGAGCUAACCCUUUUGGGAGGCAGCGUCCUAAGGAAUGGUCGGUGACUGGGGUGAAGUCGUAACAAGGUAGCCGUAGGGGAACCUGCGGCUGGAUCACCUCCUUUCUAAGGA
rnacentral:rRNA from 1 species